UCCCUGUGGCUCAGAUGGUAAAGCAUCUGCCUGCAAUGUAGUAGACCCAGGUUCAAUCCCUGGGUCGGGAA
rnacentral:tRNA from 1 species